rnacentral:rRNA from 1 species
CGUGGGUUGGGUUGGCUAACUGAAGACCUGCU